rnacentral:ncRNA from 1 species
GCGCCGGGACGACCCGGCGACGCGGACGCACACGGGGACGGCCCC